rnacentral:lncRNA from 1 species
GGGCAUUUUAGAAAUUGACUCAGAUGUUGAACAGCAAAACAUAUGUCAGGCCUAGUAUGAGUCAGAAACAACAGCUUACCAACAAGACUCCUAUACUGAUCAGGAGAGGAUAAAAGAUCACCAGAAUCAGCAUGAAGUUUGACAUUAAUAUCCAAAGGACAAACAACAGAGGAUACAUUUGCACAAUCAAACUGAUGCAGUAAAUCAGAAAUAUACUUAUGCUGAUUAAGGAUCAUUCCACCAGGAACAGCUGACAUUUCAAGGCCCAAAAAAUAAUGCAAAGACCCUAGGUCUUUGGCUGAUGCAGCAAAUCACAAACAUAUUUAUGCUGAUUAAUGAUCAUACCACCAGGAACAAAUGACAUUUCUAUGCCCAAAAAAGUAAUGCAAAGACCCUAGGUCUUUGAUUUUAAACUGAUCAUCCAGAAAC